UACGAGGGGGGCGAGCGUUGUUCGGAAUUAUUGGGCGUAAAGAGCGUGUAGGCGGUUUGGUAGGUCCGUUGUGAAAACUCGAGGCUCAACCUCGAGACGCCGGCGGAAACCAUCAGGCUAGAGUCCGGAAGAGGAGAGUGGAAUUCCUGGUGUAGCGGUGAAAUACGCAGAUAUCAGGAAGAACACCCGUGGCUAAGGCGGCUCUCUAGUACGGUACUGACGCUGAGACGCGAAAGCGUGGGGAGCGAACAGG
rnacentral:rRNA from 1 species